GACAGAGGUGCCAAGCGUUAGGCGGAAUCACUGGGCUUAAAGCGUGUGUAGGCGGAUGCCUAAGUACCUUGUGAAAUCCCACGGCUCAACCGUGGAACUGCUUGGUAUACUGGGUGUCUUGAGCCAUCUAGGGGCUACCGGAACAAAUGGUGGAGCGGUGAAAUGCGUAGAUAUCAUUUGGAACGCCAAUGGUGAAAACAGGUAGCUGGGGAUGUGCCGACGCUGAGACACGAAAGCCAGGGGAGCAAACGGG
rnacentral:rRNA from 1 species